AGGUAAUUCCUGCCCAGUGACUUAACGAGUUUAACGGCCGCGGUAUCCUAACCGUGCAAAGGUAGCAUAAUCAUUUGCCCAUUAAUUGUGGGCUAGAAUGAAAGGACUAACGAAAUAGACACUGUCUCUGUAAGUAUAAUAAAAAUUAAUCUCUAACUGAAGAGUGUUAGAUGACAUCGAAGGACAAGAAGACCCUAUAGAGCUUUAUUUAAUAAAAGACCUCUUACUUUUUUAUAAUUCGGUUGGGGCGACCAGGGAAAUAAUAAAUCAUCCCUUAUAAAUAGAUAAAUUAAUCUUUUUUCUGACCCUAAAAUUAGAUCACAAGACCAAGCUACCUUAGGGAUAACAGGCUAAUUCAAUUAAAGAGUCCUUAUCAAUAAUUGAGUUUGGCACCUCGAUGUUGGCUUAGGGAUCUCUAUGGCGCAAAAGCCAUAUAAAGAUGGUUUGUUCAACCAAUAAUACCCUACGU
rnacentral:rRNA from 1 species